rnacentral:snoRNA from 1 species
AUCCUAUGAUAAGGACACUUAUGAAGCAAUUCUUUAAACCUUUCCCACACCUCAUAUAAAGACUCGUAUCCAAUUGUUAGAAAGUAGUUAUCUCAUUAAGUAACUUU